rnacentral:rRNA from 1 species
UACGUAGGGGGCAAGCGUUGUCCGGAUUUAUUGGGCGUAAAGAGCGUGUAGGCGGCCAUACAGGUCCGUUGUGAAAACUCGAGGCUUAACCUCGAGACGUCGAUGGAAACCGUAUGGCUAGAGUCCGGAAGAGGAGAGUGGAAUUCCUGGUGUAGCGGUGAAAUGCGCAGAUAUCAGGAAGAACACCCGUGGCUAAGGCGGCUCUCUAGUACGGUACUGACGCUGAGACGCGAAAGCGUGGGGAGCGAACAGG